rnacentral:tRNA from 1 species
AAACCCAUGGCGUAGUGGUUAAGUGCUUUGGCUGCUAACCAAAAGGUCAGUGGUUCAAAUCCACCAGGCAUUC